UUUAUUGUAAAUGUUAUGGGUUUGAGUAGUAAUAGAGUUCUUGAAACUAAAAGAGUUUGGCGGUAUUUAAGUCUAUUUAGAGGAACCUGUGUAUUAAUCGAUAGCCCACGAAUAAUCUUACUUAGGGGGAGUAGUAUGUAUAUCGUUGUCAUCAGAAUAAUUUUGUAGAAUAUUUUCUGGGUGCUGAAUAAGUAGAAUGUCAAAUCAAGGUGCAGUUGGUACUUAAGUUUACAUGGGUUACAGUAUCGAAGGGUAUAACGGAUAAUUUUUCUGUAAGAAGAAUUUGAAGGUGGAUUUAAUUGUAAUUUUUUAUUAGCAAGGAGAGGUGAAAGAGUACUGAAAUAUGC
rnacentral:rRNA from 1 species